GACCUUGUGCUUCACUCCGUGC
rnacentral:siRNA from 1 species